GGGUCAGUAGGUUGGUCGUGCCACCGGUACGUACUGGUCUCACUGAUUCCUCCUUCCUGAAGAACCGUAAUGCCAUUAAUUUGGUGUUGCGGGGAAACAGGACUGUUACAUUGAAAAAAUUAGAGUGUUUAAAGCAAGCCAACGCUUGAAUACAUUAGCAUGGAAUAAUGAAAUAGGACGAUCGAUCCUAUUUUGUUGGUUUCUAGGAUUGACGUA
rnacentral:rRNA from 1 species